GACGAACCGUCCUAACGUUGUUCGGGAUCACUGGGCUUAAAGGGCGCGUAGGCGGCCUUGAAAGUCGGGGGUGAAAUCCCACGGCCUAACCGUGGAAGUGCCUCCGAUACUGCAAGGCUCGAGGGAGGUAGGGGCAGCUGGAACUUCCGGUGGAGCGGUGAAAUGCGUUGAUAUCGGAAGGAACGCCGGUGGCGAAAGCGAGCUGCUGGACCUCUGCUGACGCUGAGGCGCGAAAGCCAGGGGAGCAAACGGG
rnacentral:rRNA from 1 species